rnacentral:rRNA from 1 species
GUGCCAGCAGCCGCGGUAAUACGAAGGGGGCAAGCGUUGUUCGGAAUUACUGGGCGUAAAGGGCGCGUAGGCGGCCGAUCAAGUCAGGCGUGAAAUUCCCGGGCUCAACCUGGGGGCUGCGCUUGAUACUGAUUGGCUUGAAUGCGGGAGAGGAUAGUGGAAUUCCCAGUGUAGAGGUGAAAUUCGUAGAUAUUGGGAAGAACACCGGUGGCGAAGGCGGCUAUCUGGCCCGUAAUUGACGCUGAGGCGCGAAAGCGUGGGGAGCAAACAGGAUUAGAUACCCGUGUAGUCC